ensembl:lncRNA
GUAGGGGUAAGACAGUACAGAGACAGGUCAUUAAGGAGCAGGUAGGGGUUAGACAGUACAGAGACAGGUCAUUAAGGAGCAGGUAGGGGUUAGACAGUACAGAGACAGGUCAUUAAGGAGCAGGUAGGGGUUAGACAGUACAGAGACAGGUCAUUAAGGAGCAGGUAGGGGCUAGACAGUACAGAGACAGGUCAUUAAGGAGCAGGUAGGGAUUGGAUUGUUUGCUCAUCGUUUCAGGUACACCCAGAAGUUGCAAGACAUGCUGGGUAUCAAAACAACAGCGAUACGGGGGUACAGGAGACGUCCUGGAACCCACAACCAUCCUCUUCACCCUCGGCGGGUUUUAGAACCAACAGACCCCUCAUCGCCGUGACGACCAGACCUCAGACCCACU